CAAAUGCCACAAAUGCCAUAAAGGCAAAUGCUACAAGCCUGGAGAACUUCAACCGAACACAUCUAACAAGUAUUCGCUCCAGUAUCAGGAAACACUAGGUACUUCUUUGAGGUAUUGAUACAUAUUGCUAAUAUGGAAGGGGAGUGGCUCGGGUUUGUUGGACCAUGGUUUCGUUACUUCCUCUUCUCUAUCUUUCUUCUUGAUUUGCUGUUGAUCUAUCUGAACACCUACCUGUAUAGGGAUCUGAGAGAACGAUCAAGGGCAUAUAUGACAUACAUGAGAUCUACAGUUGUGACAAACAUCAAGUCUCAGGAGGAGUCUGAGGAUAUUUAUGAAGAUGCUGAAGAUGCAUUUUGAAAAUGUUCUGCUUGAUAAAUCCGACAAAGCAAAAUGACUGCAGGUAUUAAUUUGCUUAAAGAGCAAAAAAAGAUUUGCAGUAAACAUCGCUUGACUCUUGUCAGAGUCCUGAGGUUAACAUUUUUAAGAAAUGUUAUCUGCAUGGAAUAUUACACUAUAUAGGAACUAGAAUAUCAAUUGCUUCAUGCAAU